UCAGUUAAGCAAAGGCUGCUUCGACGUGCUCCUGUCUGUUCUUCAGUCAGCGGACUCUUGUUUAACAGAGCUCAGCCUGGUGUAUUUUUCUAACGUCAGUGAUGGUUUUCCUUCUGAUCUCUUUGCUGGACUGGAAGGUCCUGACUGUAAACUGGAGACACUGAGGUUAUCUGGGUUUUCUCUAGACUGUAGCGACUGUCACAGACUGGUUUCUGUCCUUCGAUCAGACCCGUCACCUCUGACGGCACUUCAUUUGAUUAACUGCUUAUGCAGUUAUUCAGAGGAUUACAGUGGAUAUUGUACAAAUGACGUGAAGACCACUGGAAACCGUGGAGAUUUCAGUGAUGAGUCACACCUGCUGACUGUGAUUCCUUCUGCUUUGAUUGGUCCAGUCUGUAAACUGGAGCGGUUCAGGUGCCUGCAGUUAGUGCAAGGAUCAUCUUUCGUUUUCUCUCUGCAGGUUAUGAUGUGCAGAUGUUUUGCUUUGUUUGCAGCAUGCCUGGUUGUUUCCUGAAAAAUAACUGCUGGCAGGUGUUUGCCUCCGUUCUCAGCUCUAACUCCCAGCUGAGAGAGCUUGACCUCAGCCGCAACGACCUGAAGGAUUUAGGUGUGCAGCUGCUGUCUGUUGGACUUGGGAGUUUAAACUGUAGCCUGGAAACACUGAGGCUGUCAUGUUGUGGGAUCACAGAGGAAGGUUGCGUCUCUCUGGCCUCAGCUCUGAAGUCCAACCCCUCCCACCUGAGAGAGCUGGACCUGAGCUACAACCAUCCAGGCGUGUCAGGAGUGAAACUGCUGUUGGAGCGACUGGAAGACCCAGAAUGUAGAGUGGAAACGCUGAAGUCGGUACACUGUGUAGUAUACACAGGUUAUAUAUACAGUAGCUCCCUAAACUACGUUUUUUCUAAUAUGUGGGUGGUUAUCCAGAAAAUGUUGCUGUAUAGCUAGAACUGCUUAACCAGCUGAUUGCAGACCUUCAUCGACUCUCUUGGUUGUGUUCAACAGUCUGUGGACUGAUUUCUGUGUCAGGGACUCGAGACUAG